rfam:Triticum aestivum genome assembly, contig: Triticum_aestivum_CS42_TGACv1_scaffold_604959_7DL
CACAUACUCCCUCAUUCCGAAAAAGCUUGUCCCUCAAAUGGAUGUAUCUAGCACCAAGUUAGUGCUAGAUACAUCCAUUUAAGAAAUAAGGUUGAGACAAGCUUUUCAGACGGAGGGAGUAUGAG